rnacentral:rRNA from 1 species
AUUGAACGCUGGCGGCAUGCUUUACACAUGCAAGUCGAACGGUAACAGGCCGCAAGGUGCUGACGAGUGGCGAACGGGUGAGUAAUGCAUCGGAACGUGCCCAGUCGUGGGGGAUAACUACUCGAAAGAGUAGCUAAUACCGCAUACGAUCUAUGGAUGAAAGCGGGGGACCGUAAGGCCUCGCGCGAUUGGAGCGGCCGAUGUCAGAUUAGGUAGUUGGUGGGGUAAAGGCUCACCAAGCCAACGAUCUGUAGCUGGUCUGAGAGGACGACCAGCCACACUGGGACUGAGACACGGCCCAGACUCCUACGGGAGGCAGCAGUGGGGAAUUUUGGACAAUGGGCGCAAGCCUGAUCCAGCAAUGCCGCGUGCAGGAAGAAGGCCUUCGGGUUGUAAACUGCUUUUGUACGGAACGAAACGGCUCUGGAUAAUACCCGGGGCUAAUGACGGUACCGUAAGAAUGAGCACCGGCUAACUACGUG